UUAGAAACUUAGCAAUUUGGAAAUAAUGGUUCUUAGAGAGAUUGUUACUUUUGAAGUCCUACCGUCUGUUUAUGUCUAGUUUUCCCGCUGUAAACAAAACAUCGGGAUUAUUAAAAUUGAAAUUAACCCUUUUUAUUCAAAAAUGUCGCUGGAAUCGAUAUCAGUAAGGGACCGCGUGACCGAUAUGAACGAACGGUUCUGCCAGGCGAAACCUGUUCAAAUCGGUUGCGAGGUUAGACGAAUUGAUCUCGAAACAGGCAUCAAGCCCGAAGAAUUUGUCUCUACGCCCUGGCAAGACUUCAGGAUUUUAUUUAAUAACCACAACAAAAUUUUAUCGCAAUAUUAAAAUUCAUGGAGGGUGCAUGGGAGACGAUGGGAUUUUACGAUCAUAAUCGCAAAUGGGAACAUGGUGAUUUUACUCUUGCCCAUAAGUACACAGACAUUUCUCAUCUUCUGCACAUGGUUUGUUGGUGGUGACUCAGAAAUGUAGCACAGAUCAACGGUUAAGGGGUAUUUCAGACCCGUCAGAUAGUAGCAGCCAUGUGAUACUAUGCCAGCUACAUCCUUGCUUUAAAUUUAUUUAUCCUACAAUUUUCCUAACAAAGGGCUUUAUGCUGUAAAUUGCUAUUGACAGUUUUUUUAAAGCUUAUGUAUAUAAUGUAUCCUCUGAUUAUCCAAGAUGCUAUUUAAAUUUCUAAGCCAUUUAAGUAAUUUUUCUAAUAUUUGAAUAUAAUCCUAGCCCUUAUCUCAUUCAAUUUUAUGCCUGUAUCAAAUUAACUCCUUUAUAACAUUUUUACAUCGACUAGGUCCUCACCGAGUCUUUUGAUACCAAAUGUAGUAGAAUUGAAAGUGUUUCUUUUACACUGCCUGGAACUUCUUGAACUGAUGGAAUACAAAUUCAUUUGUUUAUGAAUAUGAGUGUAAUUAAUUGUCCGACCCACUCAAUCUUCAAAUCCCUUUGGAAAUGUAGAUUCUAAAUGGACAACUCUCAUUUUUUUUUUAAAUAUGCAAAGAAUAUCUUGUACAUAA